rnacentral:sRNA from 1 species
AAAAUAAUUAGAAAAUAAGAUUUAAGUCUAUUUGUUUUUAUCUAAAAAUACAUCUAAAUAAUCAAUUAAAUAAUUAGGGUAUUUUUGUCAUUUAUUAAUUUUGACUGAAUCAUCUCCAUCCAAAUGAUCCAAUUAAGUUUAGCCAAAUGAGUUUCAAAAUUUAGCCUAAAUUUUCAAACUCAUCCAAAUAGAUAAUCUGAAUGAACCGUUUUUUGCACUAAACGAACAUCAAAACUCAUCUCCAUCCAGAUGAUCCAUUUGACUGAUGAAACGAACAGAGCCUAACUAGUUAUUUGUAGAGGACGGAAAAAAGUUCUUGUAAGGAAUAAUGAAAGUGGUUCA